ACGGGUGAGUAACACGUAAAGAACCUGCCUCAUAGACGGGGACAACUAUUGGAAACGAUAGCUAAUACCGGAUAACAGCAUAAAUCGCAUGAUAUAUGUUUAAAAGUUGGUUUCGGCUAACACUAUGAGAUGGCUUUGCGGUGCAUUAGCUAGUUGGUGGGGUAAAGGCCUACCAAGGCGACGAUGCAUAGCCGACCUGAGAGGGUGAUCGGCCACACUGGGACUGAGACACGGCCCAAACUCCUACGGGAGGCAGCAGUGGGGAAUAUUGGACAAUGGGGGAAACCCUGAUCCAGCGACGCCGCGUGAGUGAAGAAGUAUUUCGGUAUGUAAAGCUCUAUCAGCAGGGAAGAAAAUGACGGUACCUGACUAAGAAGCCCCGGCUAACUACGUGCCAGCAGCCGCGGUAAUACGUAGGGGGCAAGCGUUAUCCGGAUUUACUGGGUGUAAAGGGAGCGCAGACGGCGAAGCAAGUCUGAAGUGAAAUGCAUGGGCUCAACCCAUGAAUUGCUUUGGAAACUGUUUGGCUUGAGUGUCGGAGGGGUAAGCGGAAUUCCUAGUGUAGCGGUGAAAUGCGUAGAUAUUAGGAGGAACACCGGAGGCGAAGGCGGCUUACUGGACGACAACUGACGUUGAGGCUCGAAGGCGUGGGGAGCAAACAGGAUUAGAUACCCUGGUAGUCCACGCAGUAAAC
rnacentral:rRNA from 1 species